UACAGAACAACUGCGCCAACCUGCCAUAUCACCAACUUCAAAUUAAAAAAUAUCUAUUUUGUAAAUGAAUACAAGGCAAAAUGGUAAACUGCAUUAUGCUUGCAGGUCCUGAUAUCUUGGUGAUUUUUGAUCAUUAUCUCAAUGAACCAGGUGGAGUUUACCCUUCCUCUGGAUGAUGGUAGUAAUAUUAAUAACAACAAAUGUCAUUAUGAUGGAUAUAUGAUCAAAAGAAUAAAUGCACCUUCAUUUUUAUCCAGGAAAAUGGCAGAGUAGCACAUGAAUUAAUGCAAAUGAUGUUUUUCUCGGCCAGUACAAGCUUAUAUUCACAAAUCAGCAGCAUACCAAAAAUAUUCAUUAUUUCAAUGCCUGAGGUGUACAUAUGGUGAUAAGAACGAUUAUUGACCUCCUACAAAUCAUUCAAGACAAAUAUAAUUCAAGUUCUCCAUGAGAACAUUCUUCACAAGAAACCUAAAACUCUUGAGAUGCGAGAAUCAACGAUACUCGAUCAUUUUUCUUUUCGCUCUCAAAAUACAUAUUUGAAAUGGACCACUAAAAGCAAGCAUCAAACUUCAUUAUUAUAUUGCACUGGGAACAAAACAUGCAUAUGAAAUUCACAUAGUAAAGUUCUAUUAUGAAAAAUGCAUAACAGCUAAUCUAUAGAGAUUCAAAAGCAAAAGUUGGUGCAAUAAGGCCUCAACAGAGCGAAUUACACUAGCCAACCAUUAUACAACUCAUUCCAGAUCAUAAGCCUUAGAAAGUAAAAUUGAUGACCUUCUCUGAAUUACAAAAGGAGGUUUGAUAAAAGGCAGUGCAUAACAUUUUGAUGCAGGAGCAGUUUAGAUUUUGAUAGGAGAUCAAGGUUUAAUUCAAAUGAGGAGCAUGUUUUGAAAAUAUUAAUGAUAUUUAUUUGGAAACCCAACUGAAAUACAGGUGAUAGAACUAAAAGUUCUGAACAAACUGGGCCAGCUUAGUCUGUCAAGUAUUUUCAUUGAAUAUCAUCUUUGGUGUACAGCCAAAGCACAGUAGUGGACCCUACUAAUUAUGAGUUAUCAUGAGAUAUUACAAAAGGUUUCUUCUAGUAAUUAUGUUUGCAUUGAAGUAUAUCCUCUUUUGUGCAUUGU
rnacentral:lncRNA from 1 species